rnacentral:rRNA from 1 species
CAGGCUUAACACAUGCAAGUCGAGGGGCAGCGAGGGUAAUAGCAAUAUUACCUGUCGGCGACCGGCGCACGGGUGCGUAACGCGUAUGCAACCUACCAUCAACAGGGGGAUAACACUGAGAAAUUGGUACUAAUACCCCAUAAUAUCUCAUGCGGCAUCGCAUGGGGUUGAAAACUCCGGUGGUUGAUGAUGGGCAUGCGUUGUAUUAGCUGGUUGGUGAGGUAACGGCUCACCAAGGCGACGAUACAUAGGGGGACUGAGAGGUUAACCCCCCACAUUGGUACUGAGACACGGACCAAACUCCUACGGGAGGCAGCAGUGAGGAAUAUUGGUCAAUGGACGCAAGUCUGAACCAGCCAUGCCGCGUGCAGGAUGACGGCUCUAUGAGUUGUAAACUGCUUUUGUACGAGGGUAAACCCCGAUACGUGUAUUGGGUUGAAAGUAUCGUACGAAUAAGGAUCGGCUAACUCCGUGCCAGCAGCCGCGGUAAUACGGAGGAUCCGAGCGUUAUCCGGAUUUAUUGGGUUUAAAGGGUGCGUAGGCGGUUUGAUAAGUUAGAGGUGAAAUGUCGGGGCUCAACCCCGAAACUGCCUCUAAUACUGUUGGACUAGAGAAUAGUUGCGGUAGGCGGAAUGUAUGGUGUAGCGGUGAAAUGCUUAGAGAUCAUACAGAACACCGAUUGCGAAGGCAGCUUACCAAACUAUAUCUGACGUUGAGGCACGAAAGCGUGGGUAGCAAACAGGAUUAGAUACCCUGGUAGUCCACGCAGUAAACGAUGAUAACUCGUUGUCGGCGAUACACAGUCGGUGACUAAGCGAAAGCGAUAAGUUAUCCACCUGGGGAGUACGUUCGCAAGAAUGAAACUCAAAGGAAUUGACGGGGGCCCGCACAAGCGGAGGAACAUGUGGUUUAAUUCGAUGAUACGCGAGGAACCUUACCCGGGCUUGAAAGUUAGCGACGACGCUUGAAAGAGCGUUUCCCUUCGGGGCGCGAAACUAGGUGCUGCAUGGUUGUCGUCAGCUCGUGCCGUGAGGUGUCGGGUUAAGUCCCAUAACGAGCGCAACCCCUACUGUUAGUUGCCAUCAGGUGAUGCUGGGCACUCUAGCGGGACUGCCGGUGUAAGCCGAGAGGAAGGUGGGGAUGACGUCAAAUCAGCACGGCCCUUACGUCCGGGGCCACACACGUGUUACAAUGGUAGGUACAGAGGGCAGCUACCCUGCGAAGGGGUGCGAAUCUCGAAAGCCUAUCUCAGUUCGGAUUGGAGGCUGAAACCCGCCUCCAUGAAGUUGGAUUCGCUAGUAAUCGCGCAUCAGCCAUGGCGCGGUGAAUACGUUCCCGGGCCUU